rnacentral:rRNA from 1 species
ACAGGGGGGGGCGGCUUUUCCAAUGCAGUCGAACGGGACUCUUCGGAGUUUCAGUGGCGGACGGGUGAGUAACGCGUGAGAAUCUGCCCUUAGGAGGGGGAUAACGGUUGGAAACGACCGCUAAGACCCCAUAUGCCGAGAGGUGAAAUAGGUUUCUGCCUGAGGAUGAGCUCGCGUCCGAUUAGCUAGUUGGUGGGGUAAGAGCCCACCAAGGCGACGAUCGGUAGCUGGUCUGAGAGGAUGAUCAGCCACACUGGGACUGAGACACGGCCCAGACUCCUACGGGAGGCAGCAGUGGGGAAUUUUCCGCAAUGGGCGAAAGCCUGACGGAGCAAGACCGCGUGAGGGAGGAAGGCCCUUGGGUUGUAAACCUCUUUUCUCAGGGAAGAAGAAAGUGACGGUACCUGAGGAAUCAGCCUCGGCUAACUCCGUGCCAGCAGCCGCGGUAAUAA